CCUGCUGCGGAUAGCUGUGAUGAAAGAGGGAAGUCGGUGAAAUCCAAACCCGAAUUGCAACCUGAACCGGAAUUGCCAUCGGAACUGAAGUCGGAACCGGAAUUGCCACCGGAACUGAAGUCGCAACCGAAACAGAGAGAGAAAUAUGAAUGGGAAUCGAAACGCGUUGAAGAUCUUGAGAUGAGUGACUUCUCUAUGUUUGACGAUGACAUUGAGCCUUUUAUGUUUAUAUGCGCGCGCUUUAUUUACAAGAAUAAGGCCCAGAUUCAAAAAGAUAAGGAGAUUGAAGUAGCCAUGGCUGAGUAUCGUGAGUGCUCUCGCAACCUAAGUGUAAGUAACUCAUCUAUCUAUUUCAAUUUCAUUGUCUUGUGUUUCACUCUCUUAAUUUUAAUUUUAAUAAUUCAUUCUGGACAACACAACACAACACAGGUGUUCGAUGCUAUCCCCGUUCCAAAAAUCUCAGGAAAAUGUGGGGGUGUCGGUCCCCUUCCUAUGACCGAUGAUCGUCGCCUUUUUCUCACUCCCGCCUGCCACCUUGCCUUAGACAAUUACAAUGCUGAGAAUCAGGCAGGUUUCAAUACUUAUGUUGAUUAUAAUAUGUUUAUGUUUAUUCAUUCAUUCAUUGAUCAUCUAAUAUACUAUUAUUAUUUUUUAGGGUCCAAAUUUCGUUUUUGUUGACGUUGUCAAGACAACCUAUAGACCCGGUGGUUUCUAUUACAUUACCUUUCAAGCACAAGAAGAAAUUCCCAACAGCCCUGUUAUAGCUUUUCAGGCCGAAGUCAGGAUUUGGAGGACUGACCCACCUAUCAUCAUCAAGUCGUGUGCCAUUAAAACUACUUAACACACUCACCAUGGUAAUAUAAUUGCUGAUACCAGAGUUUAUAGUUGCUAACCUUCACCCAGUUUCUGUUUUUGUUUUUCUUUCAUCAAAUUCAAAUUUACUUUUAACUUCAUCAUGUUUCUAGGCUACCAUAAAUCGUUGCUAAAUAAAUCAUCCGAGAAACAGUUCCAUUACUGUUUAUCUCAUUUUGCCCAAAAGAUAUGGGAAAAAAAGGAUUUAGAGGGAUUCAAUCCCUAUUAUGCUGCAAAAACGAUGCUUAACCACUGUUCCAUCAUUUUUCUAAUAACACAUGUAAUCUAUGUAUAUUAAUGCGAUCUUAUGCUGAUUACAACAUUAAGUUGUGUGCCAUUAAAACCUAAUAACACCAUGGUAACAAUAUUAUCCAUUCCUUACAUCAUGUUUAAUCUUUUCUUGGUUAAUAUACUAUUAUAGUUCCUUUGAAAUUGUAUUUGAUUUUGAUAUUGAUAAUAAGCGUCAAUCAUUUUAUUUCUUCAUGAAAUUCACAAUUAUGAAAACUUCAAGUUUAUAACUUAUAUUUUCAAGACAGAGAAUACAACUUUUUUAACUGACAUGAUAAAUGGUGAUAUAAAUGCUUAGGUUUCUGCUGGUCUAUCUGCAUCCCAUGUAAAUUUCUUUUGUAGUUUGCUCAUGUAUUGAAUGAAUUGAAUUGAUUGUAUCCUGUUUUAUCUAUCUCCGAGAGUAGGUAUCAAAUUCCACUUGCUUUUGAAGUGUACGAAACACAAGUAUAAACAGUUAAUUCAGCCUAGUAGAAUUUUUUAUUAACGAUUAAAGAAUGCAUAGGAAAUAUUGAGAAUUGAGUAGAUAUUAUUGUUUAUUGAAUUAGAAAUUUUAACAUUGAAAUAUUGAGAUUUAGCAUGUGGAAUUUGUAUCAUCAAUUAUUUGUGUAUUCUGCUUCCUUGUGUGAACUAAAGGCACCUACUCUAAUCCAUCAUUCAAACGUUACCAUCAAUUAUUAUUGGCGUUUUAAAUUCAUGUACGGCAAUACUUGAUUCUGCAAAACUGAAACAGAGCAUUAGAUCUUAUGCUGAUUUCUGCAAUGCAAGUCAUGCUUGUAGGGACAUGUAACUUUUCAUUUUACCUUCAUGAAGCUCACUGAUAUAUCCCUAUGGUUUACCCCCUAACCCUAAUUUUUUUAUUCAAUUUUACAGGAAAUUAUGUCCAAUGCAUCCACCUGCUGUGAAUUUACCUUCCAUGAAUCUGAUUUUGGUUAUGUACAAACCCAAGCUAGCCCGGACAAACUUCUGGGUGUAGUGAAUUAAACGUGGUGUUUAUGUAGAUAGUAUAUUUGCUAGAAAAUUUGGGAUUUUAACGUCGCAUGUCAUGUUAUUUCACACCAACGAAUGUCACUAACACUAAUGUUUGUCAUUUAUCUUUAUAAUCGGAUGACAUUUCCCAACGCUUGAUAUGAAUAUAUGCAAGUCUUGAAUCCAAUAGUUUCAUUUGUUUCUUAAUUUGAGCUACACCGUACAUUAAAUUGCUUCGGACAAGAGAUAUCAUUUCUCAUUUUUGGAAUACUGAACAUUUGAGGCAAUUUGUCUUAUUACACACUAGUGAGAAAUGGAUAUUAAGCGAGGAAGAGGUCUUACUGUUAGCCAUUACAUUAAAAUGAAGUGCUUAGAAUAAAACAUCAUUUAUAAUUGAUAAUACUAUAGUUGUUAAGCUUCAGCCAGUUUUUCUUUUAACACCACUUUUUGUUGUGCUUUAUUUGGAAGCUGCUUUAUGUUUUUUCCUAUUGACUUCAUAAGUCAGCCUUUUUUCGCCUCACAGUAAAAAAUGCUGACCAUUUUCUUUAAAAUAGAUUGAAUUCAAGUUAGGCAUUAACACAUAUAAGUUUAAUAAAUAACCUUGAGUCGCAAUUUGUAUAUAAUAGUGUUCUUUUUUUAAACAAUGGUGUUUUUUAAAUAAGGGUAAAACUUGAAUGAAAAAGUUACAACUUAUUUCAUGGAAUUAGAAUUUGUUAAUUUACAUCAUGACAUAUCCAAACAAUAACAGAAUGGACAUCUUUCUAUUCUUCUUUAUAUCACUCCAUUCACUUUUCUUCCUGCUCCCCUCCAUUCAUUUUAAAAUAUCCAAACAUAACCCAAGUUGCAACUCCAACGCCCACAAUGUAAAAGUCCCAUUUUACACUCAACAACUUGUAUGUAGGCAUGUCAAUGGGAUGGGGUGGAGAAAGGUUUCACCUUCUACGUCCUCAUAUCCCCGACUCACAUAUACUUACACGUGUUACCUUAUCUAUAUCCAACGGACAUGAGUUAUAUUUCCGUCUCCAACGAGUUUGGGUAUCCUCGUCCCAUUCUCAUCUCCACAUUGAAUAUUUUUUUAAUAAAAGAAGUUUUUCCCAACUCCAAAUGCAAUGAUGUAAUGCAUUAUCUAUCAAUAUGACCACUUUAACAAUUUCUUUGACGGGAUAAUUUUGCUGCUCCUUUAAAUUUCAAUGACUUUUUUUAUAACAUGGCAAGUCUCAAUUGGUAAUAAAGCAAUUUUCUACAUUCGGGGUCGGUUUGUGUUUGAGUUUAGGGUGGUGCUUUAAAAUUGGAAAAAACUCCAACAGAUGCCUAAAUCCAAUUAAAACGGGAAAAAUCCAUUAAAUCAGUGUGGAUUUGGCCAGGUAGCUGCGGUUACUGGUUUCACUGCCAAGUCUACUUGUAUGUUAUAUGAGGAACAUCACAGAUAGAUUGUUCUAACUUUUUCAAUGAUUACGAAGGCAUUACCCUUAACCUCGUGGCAGGGACACUUUCUGGUUUAUAUUAAACAGCCACUUUAAUUAAGCAAAGCAUUGAUCGCUCUCUGAUUAGUUCUUAAAUCUUUAAUUCAAAAGGCAAUGAUCAACAAGAUAUAAACAAAAUUACGUUUGUAUCAUAAGGACCCAAUGCAUUAGAGUUGAUUCCAGAACAUAAAACAUUAUGGGGUAGUAUAAGUAAACGCGACGCUUAAUUGAUUCUUACAAAUGUUUUCUUACACAAAAAAAAUAAAAGAAUAGUUUUCAGAUAUAAUUUUAUCAUAGUGUAACACUUGUUUAAUCAUCAAGGUAUCAACACUUGUUUGAAAAUUCAAAAAUAUUAUCAUCUGUUCGUUAAAAUACAAUAUUACUAUUUUUUUUUCUUUCGUUUUUCACUAAACAAUCACAAAAGUAAAGGAUGGGUUAAGUUUUUUUGGUAAUAAACACAAGAAAAAUUCUGGAUUAAAAGGGAACACAAGAACACUAAAACUUUCUCGGAAGUUAUCGGAAACUAAACACCAAUUUGAGAUUUAGAAAAAUUGAAGGAAAAUUCGCGGAAAGGAAUUGAAAGAGUUGGAGGGAAAUUUACAACUUAUUUUAUGGAAUUAGAAUUUGUACAUUUACAUCAUGACAUAUCCAAACAAUAAUAGAAUGGACAUCUUUCUAUUCUUCUUUAUAUCACUCCAUUCACUUUUCUUCCUCUUUGCUCCCCUCCAUUCAUUUUAAAAUAUCCAAACAUAACCCAAAUUACAACUCCAUUCACUUUUCUAUAUCGAAGUACAAAAAAGUAAUUCGGUCCGAGUUUUUUUAGCAAAUCUAGCAAACCCUAAUAGUAGAAAAUGAUGAAUCAAGUAUGCAAAUAACCUCAUGUACAUGUAAGCCACAUCAUAUCAUAAAAUUAAAAGCGUUUUGAAAUCCCGAGGGUUAGCUGAAAGAAUCACUUUUACAAACUUAAAUCAAAAUAUAGCCUAAUAGUAAAAUAAAACAUUCAAGCUUUAGUACCUUGUGCAUAUUUAAGUCUUAAAUAAAAUACUAGUAGUACCUUAUAAAACAUUCAAGCUAAGUACCACACACUUUAUCAAUUUUCCUUAUAAAAUAACCUAGUAGUUAAUUAAGAUAAAAGUCCACUCCAUUCAACGGUUAUGGAAAUGACAACCUUGAUGAAUCUUUCCUUUAUCAACUUCGCAGCAAACUUCUCUUCCCCUAAUAUGUUUCUCUUAGCCUGCAUCAUGAGAGGAAAACACAACUAUAAUUUUAUACUUGAAUAUACACCUCAUGCACCAAAUAGAAAUAAUAAUGUGAUUUUUUUUUGUAGUAGUAGUAAGGAACCACUUUCCGUACUAUGCACCAAAUAGAAAUAAAUAAUAAUAAUACUAUAUACUUAAUGGAUGGAAUGUGAAGACCGAGGAAAUCAUGUAUCUCACUCACCCUCAAGUAAAAUUAUAUAUAAAGCUAAUGGGAAAGAAGAUGAAAUAUAAGUAAAUAAGCUAAUGGAAGAGUUUGUUAAAGAGGGAACUUGUAGGCAUAACUUACAUGGACUAUUCACGAACAAGGAGAAGGACUCCAUCGACUGUUGGGAUCAUCAACUACAAAGUAAUUGGAAACAACAUUAUUGAUAAACAACCAAAUAUAUUGAAAUAGAGCAAGUGUGGUAAAGUUGUUCUUUAUGUAGCUUUUGAUUGUAUGUCACAUGAGGAACAUGACAUACGCAGCUUCUUUUCAUUGUUCUAACUUUUUCAAUUGAUUACGAAGACUCUACCCUUAAGUUAACCUUGUGUCAGGGUCACUCUCAGGUUUAUAUUAUUAAACAGUCAUCAUAACCUUUAAUUAAAUUUUUCUCAUUUUCUCUCAACAUAUGAUGAUCCCUCCUAAUAAAAAUACUAUCAAAUUUUUAACCUUUAAUUAUAUUUUAUUUUCCUUUCAUUCAUUUCUAUAAAACAAGAAUUAGAAACAGGAUGUGCACAUACCAGUUGAAGUGCUUGGAAUGUCUUCCUGAUGAUGCUCUACUUCUUCUUCUUCUUCUUCUUCUUCUUCCUGCAGUUGGCAAAUCCAGUGGAGAAAACAAAAAGCAAAAGGUUAUUAUUGAGUUUAGAUGAUUAAAAUAUAGAGAACAGAGUAUGAAAUAGAACACAACACACACACCUUCAGCUCUGAAGUUGUUGGACAAAAGCGCUUCCUUAAGAGUUUCUUAUGCUCCUGUUGAAUGAUAAUAAUAAAUUAACAUCAGACGGAUUGGCUAAAUUAAUUAAACAGAAUGUUGUGUUGUUUUGUAGGGAUCAUUUACUUAAUUAAUUAAUUAACCCUAAUAUAAUAAAAUAAAAACAAGGAAGGAGACAUAUACUACCUCAGCUCCCAAAUUCUCAAUUUCUUCGUCACCAUCCUCCUCAUCAUCGUCAUCGUCAUCACCAUUCUCCUCCUCCUCCUCGCCGACAUCCUCCUCAUCAUCGUCACCAUUCUCCUCCUCCUCCUCGUCAUCAUCAUCAUCAUGGCCUUGUGGUCCAUGGUGGUGCAAAGAUUCAAUUGCCGCACAAGUGGCAAAUGCAUAACAAUAAUUUACAUAAAUUAAUAUAUUCUAUUAAAUAAUAAUAAUAAUAAUCCUCUCAAAAUAAUAAUAAUAAUAAUAGUAAUAAUAAUAAUAUACUAUAUAUAAAUAGUGUAACUCAAAAGCGCUUAGAUAAAAUGCCACAAGUCUUUUCUAACUUAACCAAGGUCGUAAGGAAUUUAAAAACCAACUACAUUUUUUAAUUGAAUUUUUUUGUUUUUUUUUUCAAAUUCAAAUUUAAAAAGAUCCAAAUUGAAUAUUGAAAUUGAAAUGUUAAAGAUAUUAAACAAAAUAAUUAUAUUAAGAGUUUAAUAGUGGUGGAUUGACGGUACAAAAUAAUUUUGCACACACAACCAAUCAAAACUUUCUGAAUCGCCACAUCAAUUAAUGUUUUUAAUUUAAGUAGGCCAAACUUGAUAAUUCAAAACUUGAUAAUCACACACUCACACUUCACAAAGCAACGAGCCUUGAAUGAGAUAUGGAAGGCUCAUUUUUACAGGAAUCAAAGUAAUAACAGUUUUAUUAGCAUCUUAAAUCCAUAUUGGCUCAGCAAUACAACGAGACACAUUUGUAAAAAAACAUACGUGAGCUUGAUAUUAUGCCACUGAUUCUUGAAGAAUGGAAGAUGUAAACUGAGGUUUUUCAUACCGAAUAAAACACUACGAAUCGCUUCCAUCGAAGGGAAACCAACUUUCCGAGCAUAUCUGAAAUUGCACCUUGAAUACAUGGAAACCUGACCUAAAUACUAGUAGUGUGCAUUUGCAUCUAUACUAUAGCAUGUAAAGAGAAUAGUAAGAGCUGGUUUCUUACUGCAUUCAUCAAUUCCAUAUGCGUUCAUUUAAUUUAUACGUAUAAGUGUUGUUUGUUUCAUUAUUAACUUUUUAUGUUUUGAAAACUCUAUUUCCAUGUUGAUUACUGUGGGGAAUAUUUGUUUAGAAGACGCAGAUGAAAGAAGCUCCAUGAGGAAAAACUGAAUAAGACUUGGAAUUUGUAGGAACUAUUUUAAAGUUGAAUUUUGCUAGGAAGCUUGUUUUGUUUAGUUGUUUUAGUGCUAUAGAAUUUUAAUCGAUUUAAUCUCCUUUUGUAAAGUGGUAUACUUGGUACUCUUAAGUGCAGUCAAUCUUCUUAGUAACCUCCUUCAAAAAAAUAAAAAAUAAAUCUUCUUAGUAAGCAUUUAGUAUGAGAUGUCACAAAUUUUCACGCAUACAUUUUGCAAAAAUUGUCUCUGGCUCUCUGCAAUACAAAACAUUGCAGACUUCACAUGAUUUUGACGCAUGUUAUCAUUUUGAUAUUCACAUGAGAGGGGAACUCUGGUUAAUGAGUGGAAUAGAUCAAGUGCUCAUUUCAGAGGAAUACUCUCAAGUGUGAGGGGAGAUAUCUCUAUGGGCACUUCCGAGAGAUUUUACGAUCAUUGUCCUUUGGUGUUAAAGGUGGGAGAGUGGGAUUGGGGGCCUAAACCGUUUCGAUUUAACAAUUUUUUGUUAGAAAAUAUGAAGUUUAAGGGAGUAGUGGAGGAGGCAUGGAGGAGUCAAAAUGUGAGUGGUUGAAUAAGUUUGUGUUGAAAGAAGAGCUCAAAGGUCUUAAAUCUAAGAUCAAAAAGUGGAAUACGUAGGAGUAUGGAGGAAAGGGUUUGAGUGAUAGUGAGCUUUGUUUGCGGAAAGACAAAUUUUUUGAAUUACGGAGAUUACUUAAGCAAAAGACUUGUCGAUUGUGCAAAGGUUUUCAUUAUCGGAUUAAAUUAUAGUGACUCUUCAUUAUCUAAUAUGAAUAAAUGCUAACUACUUAAGCUCUCUAUCAGAUUAAAUGAUCAACCUUUGGUAUGAUGAUUGAUUGAUACUUUCUACCAUAUGUUAAAGGUUAUGUUGUACCAAUAUGUUUAUCUAAUGCUUCGCUUACGUCAACAUAAUGAAACCAAUCAAAUGAUGUUUAAUGCUUGACACCAAAGUAUUCGAAUGUUCUUAUGGUGUGAUUCAUAGAUGAUGUUCAAUUGAAAAAUUCUGAUAUACAAUUUUGGAUCCAUUAUUCAAAAGUGUAACUACUUUCUUUGUCGUGUUUAAACUCUCAUGUAUAGUUCACUAUGUGACUAGUUAACAUGAUUGAUCAUAGCAUGUGUUUGGAAACACAUUUGUCAAUCCCAUACCGCAUCCUAAUGCACUUUCGUCGAGAAAAUUCCAAAGGACGGUGGAGUACUGGGGAGGAAAUUUUUGCGGAGGAACUUUUAGUAAUGUUCUUAACACAUCUAUAAAAAAUUGUUAAAAAACAUUAAGAGUUUAAGCAUAAAUUAAACAAAUUUAAAUUGAAGAGAGACUAAUUCUGAGUGCAUGAUAUUUUUGUAAGCACUAAAACAACUAUUAAAAUUAAAUAAGGAUUAAACUUAAAAUGCCUCAAUUUUAUAGGGACUAAAAACAUAUUUAACACAAUAAAACAAAGUCACAUGUGACAUCCACGUGUGCGUCACCGUUUACUCAGUAACAAUUAACAGACCUAUUUUGCUAAAUAAAAUUUAAGUAGGAACCGGUGAAAACGCGCCUAACCCAUAAAAUAAAUAAAGAGGAAAGGUGUUUUGGUUUAGGUUAGAUAUUUGUGAAUUGUGGUUCCUUCCUUCCUUCCGUUUUGCAGAAUGUCGACAAAUUUCGAUACCCCCUUGUUCGGUGUCAGCCGACCUGCUCCAGAAAGCUGCGAUGAAAGAGGGAAGUGGGUGAAAUGUGAACCAAAACCAAAACCGAAAUCGAAAAAAUAUGAAUGGGAAUCGAAACGCGUCGAAGAUCUUGAUAUGAGUGACUUCUCUAUGUUUGACGAUGACAUUGAGCCUUUUAUGUUUAUAUGCGCGCGCUUUAUUUACAAGAAUAAGGCCCAGAUUCAAAAAGAUAAGGAGAUUGAAGUAGCCAUGGCUGAGUAUCGUGAGUGCUCUCGCAACCUAAGUGUAAGUAACUCAUCUAUCUAUUUCAAUUUCAUUGUCUUGUGUUUCACUCUCUUAAUUUUAAUUUUAAUAAUUCAUUCUGGACAACACAACACAACACAGGUGUUCGAUGCUAUCCCCGUUCCAAAAAUCUCAGGAAAAUGUGGGGGUGUCGGUCCCCUUCCUAUGACCGAUGAUCGUCGCCUUUUUCUCACUCCCGCCUGCCACCUUGCCUUAGACAAUUACAAUGCUGAGAAUCAGGCAGGUUUCAAUACUUAUGUUGAUUAUAAUAUGUUUAUGUUUAUUCAUUCAUUCAUUGAUCAUCUAAUAUACUAUUAUUAUUUUUUAGGGUCCAAAUUUCGUUUUUGUUGACGUUGUCAAGACAACCUAUAGACCCGGUGGUUUCUAUUACAUUACCUUUCAAGCACAAGAAGAAAUUCCCAACAGCCCUGUUAUAGCUUUUCAGGCCGAAGUCAGGAUUUGGAGGACUGACCCACCUAUCAUCAUCAAGUCGUGUGCCAUUAAAACUACUUAACACACUCACCAUGGUAAUAUAAUUGCUGAUACCAGAGUUUAUAGUUGCUAACCUUCACCCAGUUUCUGUUUUUGUUUUUCUUUCAUCAAAUUCAAAUUUACUUUUAACUUCAUCAUGUUUCUAGGCUACCAUAAAUCGUUGCUAAAAAAAUUAUUUAGAGGGAUUCAAUCCCUAUUAUGCUGCAAAAACGAUGCUUAACCACUGUUCCAUCAUUUUUCUAAUAACACAUGUAAUCUAUGUAUAUUAAUGUGAUCUUAUGCUGAUUACAACAUUAAGUUGUGUGCCAUUAAAACCUAAUAACUCCAUGGUAACAAUAUUAUCCAUUCCUUACAUCAUGUUUAAUCUUUUCUUGGUUAAUAAAUCUUCUCGGAGUUUAGUUUAUAGUUCCUUUGAAAUUGUAUUUGAUCUUGAUAUUGAUAAUAAGCGUCAACCAUUUUAUUUCUUCAUGAAAUUCACAAUUAUGAAAACUUCAAGUUGAUAACUUAUAUUUUCAAGACAGAGAAUACAACUUUUUUUUAACUGAGAUGAUAAAUGGUGAUAUAAAUGCUUAGGUUUCUGCUGGUCUAUCUGCAUCCCAUGUAAAUUUCUUUUGUAGUUUGCUCAUGUAUUGAAUGAAUUGAAUUGAUUGUAUCCUGUUUUAUCUAUCUCCGAGAGUAGGUAUCAAAUUCCACUUGCUUUUGAAGUGUACGAAACACAAGUAUAAACAGUUAAUUCAGCCUAGUAGAAUUUUUUAUUAAUGAUUAAAGAAUGCAUAGGAAAUAUUGAGAAUUGAUUAGAUAUUAUUGUUGGUUAUUGAAUUAGAAAUUUUAACAUUGAAAUAUUGAGAUUUAGCAUGUGGAAUUUGUAUCAUCAAUUAUUUGUGUAUUCUGCUUCCUUGUGUGAACUAAAGGCACCUACUCUAAUCCAUGAUUCAAACGUUACCAUCAAUUAUUAUUGGCGUUUUAAAUUCAUGUACGGCAAUACUUGAUUCUGCAAAACUGAAACAUAGCAUUAGAUCUUAUAUGCUGAUUUCUGCAAUGCAAGUCAUGCUUGUAGGGACAUGUAACUUUUCAUUUUACCUUCAUGAAGCUCACUGAUAUAUCCCCAUGGUUUACCCCCUAACCCUAAUUUUUUGAUUCAAUUUUACAGGAAAUUAUGUCCAAUGCAUCCACCUGCUGUGAAUUUACCUUCCAUGAAUCUGAUUUUGGUUAUGUACAAACCCAAGCAAGCCCGGACAAACUUCUGGGUGUAGUGAAUUAAAUGUGGUGUUUAUGUAGAUAGUAUAUUUGCUAGAAAAUUUGGGAUUUUAACGUCGCAUGUCAUGUUAUUUCACACCAACGAAUGUCACUAACACUAAUGUUUGUCAUUUAUCUUUAUAAUCGGAUGACAUUUCCCAACGCUUGAUAUGAAUAUAUGUAAGUCUUGAAUCCAAUAGUUUCAUUUGUUUCUUAAUUUGAGCCACACCGUACAUUAAAUUGCUUAGGACAAGAGAUAUCAUUUCUCAUUUUUGGAAUACUGAACAUUUGAGGCAAUUUGUCUUAUUACACACUAGUGAGAAAUGGAUAUUAAGCGAGGAAGAGGUCUUACUGUUAGCCAUUACAUGAAAAUGAAGUGCUUAGAAUAAAACAUCAUUUAUAAUUGAUAAUACUAUAGUUGCUAAGCUUCAGCCAGUUUUUGUUUCUUAUCAUCGAAUUCACUUUUAUGAAAAAUUUAACUUAAUCAUGUGUCCAGGCUAGCCUAAAUCCAAAGAGACUAUUACUGUUUAUAUCAUUUUCUUUUAACACCACUUUUUGUUGUGCUUUAUUUGGAAGCUGCUUUAUGUUUUUUCCUAUUGACUUCAUAAGUCAGCCUUUUUUCGGCUCACAGUAAAAAAUGCUGACCAUUUUCUUUAAAAUAGAUUGAAUUCAAGUUAGGCAUUAACACAUAUAAGUUUAAUAAAUAACCUUGAGUCGCAAUUUGUAUAUGUAAUUCAAAUCACCCCUUUCAAAUACGCGUUGGGAUGUGCUUGAAAUACACAAAUUGAGAUAAUUUUAAAGGUAAGAUUUUUAUUUGGAUUUAAAGAAAUUUGAGAUUUGGUGUUCUGAAAUUUUUAUUUUUAGAGAGAAAUUUGAAUGAACAUGGCUGAAAUCGUCUAAUGCAAUUACAAUACGUUUGUACACGUGAAUAAAGGUCAGGUCGUGAUUGAGGUAUGAUGUUGUUGAGGAGGCAAGCACAACAAUUUUGUGACCACGAUUGCUGAUGAGAGCCACAAUUUGAGAAACACCACUUUAAAACUUACAAGUUUGAAGUGUUUUUCUCAUUCCAUGUACAUAUGCUAUGGCUGUAAACAGGGCUGUAAAUGUAUGUUGAGUCAAAUUUGGUUCAGUUCGGUCCGAUAAUUUGAUCACAAGAAGAAAUUCCCAAUACAUGUCACCUCCAACUCAAUGGUCCAAUUUGACUUCUCAGCCUCAUCGGCCUGCACUCAUGGAUGUGGUCCUGUGGUGGCUGCACUUCACAGCCAUAACUAGGUUCGAAAAUCAUGUCGCUGUCAAUAAAUUUGAUGCAGGGUUCAGAAUUUAGUUUCGUGUCUCUCCCUCUCACUCUAAAUUUUGUAUAUCCUCGCAAACUAUGAUGAUGACAUUUGAGUGAAAACUUGUGCUUUUUAGUAAUUUUUCUUUUUUCAAAAAUUGUAAUCUCACUAUAAUGGUGUUACAUCCUUGCCAUUGUCCCCAACCAUUUUGUUUUUAACAUAAUGCACUUUAUCUUUGAAUAAUUUGUUUUUUGCUAAAGUAUAGGCACCUCAUGCUACUUAGUUGAAUGCAAGUUUUAUAUUUACCUUCAUUGGAUCAAGAUGUCAUUCAUAGUAUAUCCCUUCCCUUAAUUAUUUAUUCCUUUUGUAGGAAAUCAUGUCCACUUUAUCCACCCGCUUUGAAACUGGUCUUGGUUGUGGCAGAAAGCUAUGGUAAUCAGAGAAAGAUCGGACACACGUAUGUGUAUGGACAAUGGUUAAACUGACUGUUUCUAUGUAAUUUGGAAUCUUGUGGACAAGUGGCUUACGUUGCUAAUUUGAUUUUAGUGUUCAUAGACAUUUUUUGAGAAGAGGCUUACAAAUUUUAGUAAUAGUAAUUAUUUGUGACAAUUUGUUUUAGAAUUAAAACAAUUGAUAUCUAUCUACCAAAAAAAAAAAACAUUUGAUAUCCAUCAUUAUUGUUUCUAAAACAGUUUCACUCAACAAAAUUCUGUAAUUUGUAAGGUUUUUUUUUUUUUGAGGGUCGUCGCAGAAAAUCCGCUUAGAAUGCUGAUGUUUUAAGAUAACUCAAAAGUGGGUCAUUUGAAAAUUAGUCAUUUUUAUUAACCGUAUUUGAUCGUAAUAUGAACUUAGGUUGAUGCAUAUGGAUAAUUUAGCACGAUUGUAGAUUAGAGUUGUUAAAAUGAAAGUUGGCGCGAAUGUCUUUUUCAUGGGCAAAAGUUUUGCCAACAACCCAGAAACUAAAAAGCAUACUCACAAUGAUUAAAUCCACAAAAUCUGCAAGGAGAAUGAAGUGAAUCUGAAUAUGAAAGUUUGAAAUCUCUUCGCGUUUUCAAUGUAUCGUCCCUUUAAAAUCGCUUCUUCUCAUAAUCGAUUCCUCUUCACAACAACUGAACAAGAAUGAGAAAGUGAGAAAAGUUGAGGUCGAUUUGGGUAGUUGAGAACGAUUUAGAGUUGAGAUUGAUUAGGGUUCAUCAAUUUAGGGUUGAGAUCAAUUUAGGGUUCAUCAAUUUGGGAAUAUAUUCAUCGAUUAGGGUUCAUUUGGUUUCAUUUUCAUUUGGUUUCAAUUUGAGAACUGCUAUGAAAAAUAAGAGGUAUUAUGGUUAUGGUUCGGUUCGGUUCGGUUUGGAUAACUGUGGUUAUUAAUGGUUCGGUUCGGUUAAUUAACUGCUAUCAAAAUAAUGGUUCAGUUCAUAAACUUGUGAAAUGGUUCAGUUAAUUUUGAUAUGGUUCGGUUCAGUUACUGGUUAAUUUUGCCCACCCCUGCAAAUAAGCAUAAGAAAUGCUCACAAUAGGCACAAUUUAAUACACAAACUUGCAGCAACAAACAGAUCACACCAAUAUACUUGAUUGUAUCACAGAAUACAGAUGCACAAUCAUCAUAUUGUCACAUUCAUCAUUCUGUUAAAAAGUACGAGUAUAUGAUAUACAACAAUGCUUUAUCUUACCAAGACUCUUCACAUGAAACGCCCAAAGUGUGACUUCAAGCGCAGUUAGAUGCCUCUGUAAAUAUAUAAAAUUGAAAUGAUCAAAAGUAUUUCAAUCACCUUCUCAAAAUUACCUCUAAAUUAGAAAAAAAAAAUCCUCCCUAGUAACCGUAAUCUUUGACGACUCCUCAUCACUUGUACAAAUUGCUAUCGGCAUCACCUUCGCCUCCACUCACAUUACUUUUGUUGAUUAUAUUACUGGUAAUACCUUUGGAGUUUGUUGUUGCCAGUAUCAUCUCACCUUUCUAAUAGUCGUUGCAACCAUCACAAACACUUCUUCUACAACCUAGUACAAUACAUGGAUGACCUCGUCAUGCAUUUUAAAGUAGCACCGCAUUACAAGAUAACCGUGUCUUUGCAAAUGCAAUGUUAGAAAAAGAAAAUAAAAACUAAAAGUAAGUAGCAAUCAAAACCAAUGGUCUCUUUUGUGGCAUACACUGGUUUCCCUUGUUCACAGUAUGAGUGGAUGGUGGAACCAUAUUUUCUACAUGCCCAAACCACAUAGGUCUAGUUUCUAACAUAUUUUCUACUAUAUGUGUUACUCAAACUCUCUCUAAUAUCGUCAUUUUUUAAAUUUAUUUUUCAUCGUAAUAGAAACCAACGAUGAUCUUCAUUCAAAACAAUGGACUGAACUUUUGGCUUAUAAUAAAGAGGAAUUGUGUGUUCAUUAGGGUCCGGUGUAUGUGAAUUGGGAUUCUUCUUUCCUUCCCUUUUGCAGAAUGUCGAAGGGAUCCGAUACCUGUUUGUUCGGCGUCAUCCGACCUGCCCCGGAUAGCUGCGAUGAAAGAGGGAAACGGCAACUUAAAUAUGUAUGGGAAUCGAAACGCGUUAAAGAUCUUGAGAUUAGUGACUGCUUUGUGCAUGACGAUGACAUUAAGCCUCUUAUAUUUAAAUGUGAUCGCUUCGAGUAUAGGAAUAAGGCACAGAUUCAAAAAGAUAAGGAGAUUAAAGUCGCCAUGGCUGAGUACAAACAGCUCCGUCGCGGCCUAAGUGUACGUAUCUGUAUCUAUCUAUCUAUCUAUCUAUCUAUCUAUCUAUCUAUCUCAUUUUGCUUUCGGUUUUUCGUUUGGCUUUCAAUUUCAUGUUUCACUUGUGAUACAAUAAUAAUAAUAAUAAUCUUUUAAUUGAUUUUGUUACUGGACAGAAUUUUGAUGCUAUUGCCCCUCCGAGAAUUGCAGGAUUAGUUGGUUGUAUAGUACCCAUUCCCAUCAAUGAUGAUCUUCGCCUUCAACUCACUCCCCUUUGGGAGGCUGCGUUGGUGAAAUGCAAUACUGAGAAUCAGGCAAGUUCAAUGAUGAUUAUAGCAUAUUUACUCAUUCAUUGAUCAAAUAAUUAAGUAUUCUUCUUAAUUAUUAGGGUGCAAAAUUUGUGUUAGCUGACAUUGUGAAGACAACCUGGAGACCUGGUGGUAUGUAUUAUAUUACCUUUCAAGCAAAAGAACAAGAUCCUCCCAACCGCCGUCCUGUUACAACUUUCCAGGCACAGUUCUGGAAAAGGAGGCCUGAGCCUGAGGUCAUAUCACGUGCCAUCAAAACCUAACACACGCACUAUGGUAACAUAAUAAUGCUGCAUUAAUCUUAUGCAUGCUUUCAAUAUGCUUGGAGAUUAGUUUACAGUUCCUUUAAAAUUAAUUAUAUUUGAUUUUGGUAUUUAUAAUAAGCUUCAGCCAUUUUACAAUUAUGUCAAAUAGAAGUUUCCAAGCCUAAAUCCAAAGAUAAGAUAUUGUGGUCAAGUAGCCUAGUGGCUAGAGCUCACACAAUUUAAUUGUGGAGAAGUGGAGUGUCCGGGGUUCGAACCCCGGCCCCUGCAUAUAAAAUGCGAUAUCCCUACCAACUGAGCUAAGCUCACGGGGAUCAAAGAUAAGAUAUUAGAGUAGAGUAUGUUUAUAAAAACAUCAUUUGGAAAUUGUGGAUCAGUUGUAUUAUCAUUUUCUAACACACUGCUUUUUGCUGCACUUCAUUUGGAAAUUGUGGUUUUUCCUGCUGACUUCACUAGAGUUAGCCUUUUGGAAAUACAACACUGAUUUUUUUUUUUGUUUUAGAUACAAUUGAUAUGCUGUCAUUGUAACUGAAAGACAUUCUUCUACUGAACUUAUUUUGGUAUUUUAUUUAUAUGUCUAUAUCACUCUGUUUUUCAUCUCUUGUCAAUAUAUUUUUUUUCUUACACAGUCCCUCGUCUGGGUAAGCACUGAGCAGUACUAGUAUCUGAUUGUCUGGCAUAUUCGAAUGUCUUUCAAUCGAGAGAAAAUUCGUACUUUUGGUCAUUUUACUUUGUUGAAAUUGUAACCUCACUUUUCUGGUAUUACAUCCUUGGCUUGCAAGUAUUGUCCCAUGUAUUUUGUUAAUAUAACACCUUUAUCUUUGAAUUAUUUGUUGUUGUUUAAAGUAUAUAUGCAACCAUUGUGCUUGGAUGUUCCACAUCUUUCUUUUGGUAUGAAAGAAUGUCUUUUUUGUAUGAUAAGGUUGUAACACCCCUACUAAAAUUUUCCUAGGAUAUCUAGCAUGUGUGUUAAACUUGGCAUUGGAUACAUUAAAAUUACAAUACUAAAAAUUUCCUCUGAAUAAGAUAUAAAAAAUUCUCCUUAUAUACCUCUGCAAUAACACCACUGAUGUGAACUUUGUAUGGUCCAGCGACUUCAGCUUCUUCAUCACGAACCAUUAUGACGUUUUGUAACCUGAAUAUCUGAAAUAAAUAAAAGGGAUUGGGGUGAGACAAGAUGUCUCGGUGAGUUCCACCUAUCCUAGGUUGUAGGCAAUCUCAGGAAACCUAGGAUCGCCAUCCGUUCUAAACUAGUUGAUAAAUGUAAAAUUAUAUAACAAGACAUUCUUAAUUAUAAUAAAAGUAUUAAACUAUAUUCAUAAUAUAUAUUAUUAAAUUAUCAUUUUUUUCUCUCAAAAAACAUUACUUUUUGUAGAAAUUUUAUUUUAAAUUAAUUCCAUUUCAAUUUUUAUAAUUUACAAAAAAAAUUCAAGUAUAAAAUUUUAUUUUAAAAUAAAAAUUGUUACAAUAUAAAACAACAACAAAAAUAUACAUUAGAACUGGACACUUGUAACAAAAAAACUGGAAACAUCUCGUGAAAAAAAUUAUAUAUAUAUGGAACAAAAAAAAUGUAUGCCACUUACGUAUAUACGUAAGAACUUGUAACGUCUCGUGAAGAUAGAGGCAAAGCAGUAAUAAAGGUGUUUUAAUAUUUAAAGGUUAAAGUUGGUUUUAAUUAAAAUGAUAAGGGUUAAAAUGGAAGAAAAAAUGAGAAGCUAUAAGCUCAAACGCUACUUGGAAUAGUGUCUGAAAAAUAGCUUAUAAGCUCGUGAAAUAAGCUAUAAGCUCGUGGUGGAAAAUCUUUAACAAAUAGAGCUUUUUUUGUCAAACAAGCUUAUAAGCUAUCAGCUAUAAGCUAUAAGCUAACUUUUUAGUCUUACCAAACAGAGUUUUGUUGCUAAUUUGUCUUAGAUUUCCCCACACUUUGCAUUUUGCUACAAUCGGUUUGGCCUGUUGUUUGGUCACCUUAACCAUGUUGGUAAUUUUCACAGUGCUUAAAAUAAUUUUAGAAUUGCUAAAGUAUCAUUCGUAUUGUUCACCACCUAAACCAUCUACUAUGGUGUUGCGUAUUAAAGUUACAGUGCCCAUCUCAUGACGAUAAAUAAUCCUAAACUUAAAGAGCAUAGAUUUAUUCUUUUAAAUUAUUGCAUACCUUUUAUGACAUGCAUUAUUUAUUUGUCUUCUGUUCAUUACGGGGUCUGUUGAGGAUGCUCACAAAGUGUUUAUAAGCCCUGGGGAAAUUAAUUGGUUUGUUGUUUGUAGUUAAAUCUGACAUAUAGCUGGAAAGUAAACCGUGUCAUAUAAGUAUGCUCUGUUUGCUGAAUAUUCAUUCUUGCCAUGAUUAAUUUGUUUAAUAUACUAAUGUUCCUUCUUCGUUAAAUUUUCUUUACUAUUGAGUUCUGGCUUUUCAUUUUUCUUUAUGCUUUUUUGUCAAUACUUAUUCAGAUAUAUCUCCGUGGGUGUAUUCCUUAUACUUUAUUCUAUUCACCUAAUACUUCUUCUAUAUCUUGAUUCCUGCAGGUUUAUGUACGGUUUUAAUAUAGAGUCAAUAGUAGAUGCGGAUGAUGACCGUUUUAAUUAUUUUGUUAAGAAGGUAUGUAUUCUGGAAUUGUGAUUUUAAAAAAAUUGUGUCGAGUUCAGGUAAUUUUAGUUGUAAUUUGCAGUCAUUGCUAGUCUUUGUCUAGUAAUUUGGUAAAGUCUGAAGCAAAUGGACAUAUUUUUGUAAUUAUGUGCGUGUUAGUUAAAAUUUAUGACACCAAAUCGUAAUGAGAUACUAUGUGAAUCCUUCUUGCAGGUUUUUCCUAGAAUAAAAGACUCGUAUCAGGUUAACUUUUUAAUAAACUUCAUUUUUUUUCGAACAUGGAUGUUUGUUAUAAUUUAAAUUUAUAUGCAGAUGUAAAUGAUUUUUUAAUGAAAUCUUUGACGCAGGGAGGAAUCAUGAUAUUUGCCAGUUCUUACUUUGAAUUUAUUCGAAUCCGAAUUUUUUUGAAGUCCCAGAAUGCCUCCUUCUGUCUGCUUGGGGAGUAAGGAACCAUUUCCUUUAUUUUGCCAUUACAGCUCUAAUCUAUGUAGCUCUCGUGUUCCAUUGUAAUUUAUGUGUGGAUCUUUUUAAUCUAGGUAUACGACCGAAUAGGACAUUUCUCGUGCACGUGGUUGGUUCUUUGGAGGGAAAGAAAAAUUAUGCUUUACACAGAGAGAUCUCAUUUUUACCACAGAUUUACGGUUGUGUGCAGUGAAAUAGUUUUUUUUUCCUCCCUCCCUUUCUUUCCUAUAGUUAAUUUCUUUUGUAUUUAAUAGUGGUAUGUUAUGGUAGUUUUGAAAUUAUUCUUAUGAUCUUACUUUCCUCUUACUCAACAGUUAUAUUGAUGCAAAAUUGACAAAUUUAGUUUAUUUCUUCAUGGCAGAUUCGCGGGGUUAAGAAUUUAAUCAUGUAUUCACUCCCAGAGAGGAAGGAACUUUACCCUGAGGUAAGCAGGCUUGUAAAUGAAGUAGUAAUUUCUCUUCUCUCGCAAUAAUUCAUUAAGGAAAGAGUGUAAGACAGAUGUAGUAGGAAUACUCUUAGGCUAACAAUAAAAUCAGCGGGAAAAAAUAAAAUUGUCUCAAAAGAGUAAUCAUGUUCUUUUGCAUUUCUAGUCAUGAAAAAUCCAACAACAAAAAAGGGUGUGCAAAGACUCAAGUGGGAGAUAAGAAGACAAGCCUGCCAAACAAAAGGUUUAGAGGAAGAAUCUCAUGCUCGAAAAAGUUUUUGAAUUAUUUCCAGCCAAAUUCAUAGGUUUUUUGUAUGAAAAAAUUAUUUUCUAUCACCUAUAAUUAUAAUAACUAAAAUUAUUUACCAAAAACGUCAACGCAAUAAAAUUUGAUUUUUCUGAAUUCUUAUUACUCGUAAUAGAGAAUUUUGAUUAUUUUUUACAAUAAAAUGUAAAAAAAAAAAUAGUAUGAUUUUUAUAAAAAAUGAAACUAUAUUUUUUCUUAUAAAAUGAUAUUUUUUAAAAUAUAUAUGUCAACAAACACCUAUUUUCUUCAUAAAAAUUAUAAGCGAGAGUACCGGUACACCGUAAUUUGCGGAUGUACCGUAGAAGUUCCCAAUUCCCUAUAUAUCAAGGUUUAGGAUUCAAACCAAGAGAGAGAAAAAGAUGGACUAAAGAAACCGCUAAGUACACACCCUCAGGUCACAAAUAUAAAUAAAAAUUUAUUUUUUAGAUACAUUCAAUUAACGAUGUAUAUGACAUAUAAUAAAGACGGCAUAUAUCAUUAAUUAAAAAUAUUUAAAAAAUGGAUUUUUGUUUAUAUUUGUGAUCGGAUGGUGUACUUGCUUAAUAAAAAAGAGAAGAGAAUUGCGUUAUUUGUAAUUUCCUCCUUCUUCGUUCCUUGUAGCAGAAAAUGUCGACGGAAUUCAAUACGGUUUCGCACGGCGUCACCCAACCUUCUCUGAAAAAUUGCGAUGAAAAAGGGAAUCAACCGGUAGGAUUGCAACCGAAACGGAGAGAGAAAUAUGAAUGGGAAUUGAAACGCUUUGAAGAUCUUGAGAUUAGUGACUUCUCUAUGUAUGACGAUGACAUUAAGCCUUUUAUGUUUAUGUG
rnacentral:lncRNA from 1 species